AUUGAACGCUGGCGGCAGGCUUAACACAUGCAAGUCGAGCGGAGAUGAGGUGCUUGCACCUUAUCUUAGCGGCGGACGGGUGAGUAAUGCUUAGGAAUCUGCCUAUUAGUGGGGGACAACAUUCCGAAAGGAAUGCUAAUACCGCAUACGUCCUACGGGAGAAAGCAGGGGAUCUUCGGACCUUGCGCUAAUAGAUGAGCCUAAGUCGGAUUAGCUAGUUGGUGGGGUAAAGUCCUACCAAGGCGACGAUCUGUGGCGGGUCUGAGAGGAUGAUCCGCCACACUGGGACUGAGACACGGCCCAGACUCCUACGGGAGGCAGCAGUGGGGAAUAUUGGACAAUGGGGGGAACCCUGAUCCAGCCAUGCCGCGUGUGUGAAGAAGGCCUUAUGGUUGUAAAGCACUUUAAGCGAGGAGGAGGCUACUGAGACUAAUACUCUUGGAUAGUGGACGUUACUCGCAGAAUAAGCACCGGCUAACUCUGUGCCAGCAGCCGCGGUAACAC
rnacentral:rRNA from 1 species